GUGGAAGAGUUUGUCCCUCCCUGGAGAGGGCGGUGUGUGGGGGGAGGCCGAGGUGUGCGGUCCUGGAUCACCCGGCACAGCCGAGCCCCAGCUGUGGGUGCCCUGCCCGGUGCUAAUUAAUGCCAUUAAAUGGUCGUGGUUUCACCUGAAGAAUCCAUUAGGGGUAGGGGGAGAAUAUUAAGGUCAAUGGGGUUCCAUGAGAAUGCGAGGUUUCCUUAUCUGUACCCAGCUCUGAGAACAAAUUGUUUGUGGAGCUGAGGAUUGAAGAAAACAAAAAAUAACAACUUGCAGCUGCAGGCUGAGCAAUAAUUAAAAUGCUUGGGCAGGUUCUUGUCUUUAUGCAGCAAAAUGGCCUUGUCAGUCAGGUUGAAGUUAAGUGUAGCUUGAGCUGUCCUUAUUUAAAAAAAAAAAAGUAUACUUCCAAGAAAUUAAAAUGUGGGUUCUCAAAGUGUAGACAACUAAGGACUUCAGGAAAAGUGACUUAAAGGAUAAUUUAGUUGAGUGUUUUGGUAGGAGAUCUGAUAUGUUCCUUGGAUUUUUUUGACCAUAAUUAAAGACACUUCGCUCAAAGUGACUCUCUUGCUUUUUAAAUGAAAUUGUAGGAAGUGUCUUUUAAAAUGUGCGAAGUGGUUUUAUGAGGUGUUUUGUCCACAGGUAGACAAAAAAAGAAAAGGUUGGGAAAUAAUUUACUAUAAUAAUAAAAAAAUUAUAUACUACUACUGUGAUAAUAAUAAUAAAUAAUCUACUAUAAUAAUAUAUUGCUACAGUUUGUACAUAACUUUUUUGAUAUUACUGUUAGAAUGGCACUUUUACCCUUGGACAGAGGAAAGGAUUGUGUGUUCACACACUGCUGUGCUUUUUGUCCAUCCUCUGAAUCUCACAUGCUGAGAACUGAACACUGGUACUGAGGGAAUUAAAAACGUCUGGUUUUUGUUCCAGGUGCUGGUGUGGAAGAUGAGGCUGAAUGAGAGCCGGACAAGAUCCUUCCAGGCUGCUGUCACGGUCCACAAAUACCCGGGCAGGCAGGUCUAUGUGUUUCCUGAUGGCCCAUCCGACUCGGAGGAGUCCUCGGAGGAGGAGGAGCUCAACGUCAUGGAAUUGCGGCCCAGGGGGAAGGAGCAGCAGCGGGGCAGCACUUCCCGGGACAGGCCUGGAGAUGUGGUGCUUCUGGAGCGGGAGCUCACGGAGGGUGACAGCCUGAACAAGCUGGCCCUGCAGUACGGCUGUAAAGUCGCCGACAUCAAACGGGUCAACAACUUCAUCCGGGAGCAGGACCUGUACGCGCUGAAGUCCAUCAAGAUCCCGGUGAAGGCGCACGGGCUGCUCACGGAGAGCAGGCGGGAGCUGCGGCCGCUCCCUCUGGCCCAGCCCGGGCUGACCCGCGUGGAGCUGCCGGAGCCCGACCCCGGCACGGGCGGAUCCACCAACGGCCAAAACCUCAGCGACUACUUCAGGGACAUCGACCAGAGCAUCCAGGACGCCGUGCACGUGGAGGUGCAGCUGAACACAGAGUACUGUGGGGAGCCGCUGGAGAGGCCUCUGCCCGAGCCAGGGAAGCGGGACACCGGGAACGGUGCGGACUGCGGGAUCCAGUGGUGGAACGCCGUGUUUAUCAUGCUCCUGAUAGGAAUUGUGCUGCCAGUAUUUUAUAUCAUCUAUUUUAAAACACAAGGCCUGGUGGCCCACACCUCCAACACAACAGUAACCUCAAAUGUUUCAACAGCUGGAUUGGAAGGGAAAUUACCGCAAAGCUCAGUGGUAGGAAAAAAGUCCUAAGGGGAAACAGGAGACCCCUCCAGUCUCUCCAGCAGUGGUGCCCACACUCUCGUGACUGACCCAAGUGCAUCUAAGGGGAUAUAAUGAUACAGAUAAUUUUUAUUUUUAUAAGUAGCUGAUGAUGGAAUCCUGAACUUGACUGAAAGUGAGGUGAUGUGAUUGUGAUGGAAAAAUAAGGAUGAUUUGUUGCUUAUGAAGGUCACUUAGCAGAUCAUGGUGGUUUUGGCUUAACCCUAAACUGAUGGCUCUAAGCUGGGUGUGCCAGCCCCUCAUCAUCCUCCUCCUGAGCAAACCUUUGAGCUGGGUUUAUUAGGUUGAUGUCAAGCCCCUCCCCUGGAUAAGCCCAGAUCUCUCCCCUCCAUGAAAUCCUUCAGAGAUGGGAUCUCGGUGCAGGACCCGCGCUGUCCCCAGGGUGCAGCCAGAGCCAGCCCUGCCACUGCAGGUGGGCAGAGGGUGUUGGAGGAGGAUGUGAGAGCAGGGAGAGGAGUUGUACACUCCUCUCAAGGGCUCUUUUGUUGGCAGGGGGGUCUAGUCAGUAUUACUUGUUAAAAAUACUAAUAAUAGUCUAUAAUGGUGCAUCUCAGACACCCAUGUCAGUCACAGACUUGAUUUCCCUGUGUGCAGAUUUCAUGGGAGCAAAGCGCCGAGUCCCAUGCAGGGUGCAAGGUCCAGGGCAGAAGUCCAAGGCACAGAAAGAAGGGUAAAGCCUUUCUAGGACAGGACUGAGCUAAUUGUGAAGCGUUCUGUGACCUGCAGACAUGCAUUAAAAAGCUGCUGAGGGUGUAGGGAAGAGUGGGGGAGCUUUGGAGGGCAGAGGGCUGUGCUCUUCAGGGUGAGACACUGAACACUGCCUGCUGGGAGGAGCAGCAAGGGAGGCUUUGGGAGCUUUGCUGCAGAGCAGAAUUGGCCUCAGAAAUUGGAGUCAUCAAUUCCAGGCCUGCAGGCAGAGGUAAUUCCAGGCCUUCCUGGAACCAAACACUAAGGGAUUUCCACCCCACACAAGCAGAACUGUGUGAUGUUACAAUGACAACCUGUGUUUCCUGCAGCUCUCAAAAAAAGUGCUCAGGAAAGCCUGAGGGAACCUAAUUUUGUAAAUGAGGACUGUAAAGUAUCUUAUACUGAACAAAAACUUGUAUUUUUCUUCUGUGAAGAGCUCUAUCUCUUUGUUCUGGGGGCGGGGGGGAUUUCUUACAUUUUUAAAUAAAGCCACAUGAAAUAAUAAAAGCACAAGGGGCACAA